rnacentral:sRNA from 1 species
AUUUUCCAUUCGCUGAGUUCCAAAUGUGGAAACGGGGGAACCACUGUAAGCUUAAUUUGCAUGUUAUGCGAUUAAGUAAGCAGAUUGAGUAUCAGGGGUGAAUCAUAGACAGCAAACAGCCGUUUGCGUCUGCGUAGGGCGACUCUCACGUCCGAAUCCGUCAGCUAACCUCGUAAGCGUAAGAGAGGUAACGA